UUUAUUUAUUUAUUUUUAAAUAACCACCCAGGGUGGGUUUUUUAAUGUUAAUUUACAUAUUUUUCAGAGAGCGUGAGAGUGCACGUGCCCGCAUGCGCUGGUGUGAGAAGGAAGGUUAAAAUAUCUAAUUGAAUGUUACAAUUUCUUUGAAUUAUGGAUGCAGGCAAUAUCUAUAAUUAGUUUUUAUUUUUUAAUAUAUUACAAAGAACAUAUAUUACUAUAUCGCAA